AUGGCUCAGGAUGAACGCUAGCGACAGGCUUAACACAUGCAAGUCGAGGGGCAGCAUAAAAGUAGCAAUACUUGGUGGCGACCGGCGCACGGGUGAGUAACGCGUAUGCAACCUACCUAUCAGAGGGGAAUAACCCGGCGAAAGUCGGACUAAUACCGCAUAAAACAGGGGCACCGCAUGGUGAUAUUUGUUAAAGAAAUUCGCUGAUAGAUGGGCAUGCGUUCCAUUAGGUAGUUGGUGAGGUAACGGCUCACCAAGCCGACGAUGGAUAGGGGAACUGAGAGGUUGGUCCCCCACACUGGUACUGAGACACGGACCAGACUCCUACGGGAGGCAGCAGUGAGGAAUAUUGGUCAAUGGGCGGGAGCCUGAACCAGCCAAGUCCGCGUGAAGGAAGAAGGAUCUAUGGUUCGUAAACUUCUUUUGCAGGGGAAUAAAGUGCAGGACGUGUCCUGUUUUGUAUGUACCCUGAGAAUAAGGAUCGGCUAACUCCGUGCCAGCCGCCGC
rnacentral:rRNA from 1 species